UGUGUGGUCACAUGUAUGUGUGUUCAUGUGCGAUUGGUUUUUUCUUCAUUAGGUCACACUCUACUCAGACUCGACAAUCACAAACUCAUUGCCAUUGGUGUCUCUGAUCAAGCACUAAGGAAGCGGAUGUUGCAGGAAGUCGAGCAGCUUCGACUGUGCCACGAGGAACGCGAAGUGCGGCGGAUGCUCAUGAACCCGAUUGGCCGCCAGCGGCAGCAACAGCAACAGCAGCGCCUGGUAUCCCCGUGACUCAACACGAUGUCAUUGUUCGGCAUCAAUCUUGCGAUUAUGAAGUCAUUGGCUGUGUCGUAUGAGCCAUGCCGUGUGACGAUUAGGUCGCUGAGUAGACUCGAGGAGUGGUUGGACGGGUGGUGCCACUAAUGUGCUGCACUAUGGCUGGGUAGCACACGCACGACCACAAGCAUGGUUGCUCCAUGGACUGCUUUGAUCUACGAGUCAAGGGCACUGACUUAAAUGCAGACUUGCAGGCCGGUCUGCGCCGGAUCACUAAUUGCCAGCGCAGGCUGCCCGGAUCCACACCACUCAUCGCCACAUACAGCUGACCGCUGACGUCUUGAAACGUGAAAUUAACCAGGGGCUCCAACAGGCCGGUAGGCCUCGCGGCUCCUGUACUGACGUGUCCUUGAGUCAAACAUGAAAGUUCUAUUUAUUGUACAAGGGAGAUGCACUCUGCUUUUCAUCAUCAUCUGCUGGGAAGUCACCUUUUCACACCUGCAGGGAAAUUGCCUCUUCACACCUGCUGGGGAAUCCCCUUUUCACACCUGCUGGGGAAUCCCUUUUUCACACCUGCUGGGAAAUCCCCUCUUCACACACACACACACACACACACACGCACGCACGCACACACACACACAUACACACACACACACACGCAUUCACUGUUGCCGUGUAUGCAUUGCUGUGAUACUUGAUGAGUCGGCUCAGGAAGUUGAGAGUAGCUCCUGUUAUGCGCCAUGCGUGAUUGUCCCAGUAUAACUGUUUCUAAUCCAAGCUGUCAUAUCAUUUCUGCUGGCCUAGUUCUACUCCUUCUGCAAAUUGGCGCUCUCAGUGCCAACAUAAGUAUUAUUUUCAUCUCUGUCACGUGCUUGCCGCAGGUGCGUGUAUGUGUUUGCAUGUGUAUGUGUGUGCCUGUGUAUGUGUAUGUGUGUGCCUGUGUAUGUGUGUGCAUGUGUAUUUGUCUCUCUGUGCAUGUCGUGCGUGUGCGCCCAAGACCCCAAGAGUCCGCCUGUAAUUUGUUCGGCUGCUUUCAUUUUCAUGUUCUUUUACCCACGUCUGUGUACUUCACCUGCGCUCAGGCUUUCUAUCGGAUAUAGUGUUUGCAAUUUGCCCCCUGCAAUUAUUCUAAAGAAACCUAUUUUGCAAUAUCGAACAUAGUUAUUCAGGAAUGCAGUAUUUGUCUCGAAUAUAGCCCUUUUCCAAAGAUGCCAUAAUUUUUCGCAACUUAUGCUUUUCGCAACCGUGACAAAACAAGUGAAAGUUGCUGAAA